AGGCUGGCAGCUGCCAGGCCUAGAUAGUGGCCUCUCCCUCUUUUCUCCGCCUCUUUUUCCUUUUUAGGUUUGUCAGCAGUGCAGUUGCAGCGGCAGGUGUCUCUCAUUGACAAUCAUCAUCAGCUGGUGCAGGAGCAGGUGGAGAUUUGCCAAUCAAGCUCCACUCUGCCACAAUAUAACCAGACGCCACUCACCUCUCAGCGCCGGAUUGUGACACAGCCAUCCCGGUUCCACCUGCUCCUGCUUCAAUUUUACCUGGUUUCCUUGUCACCUCCAGUAUCCUGUUCCUUUCAACCGUUCUGGAGAUACUCACCUGUGCCGUUCUCCUCCAUCCUGGCGUCCUUCCACAUUCACCUGCCGCUGCGACUCACCAUUCAUCAUCCUGACUCAAAAACCACUCGUCUAGAUCCACCUGCCGCUUACAGUCAUGAGUCCAGUCCAAGCAUCUUAUGUUGUAUUUGUGAGUCUGUCCUAGAAAACUGAAUUUAGUUUUGUUUAUUUGCGUAGCAGCUCUUGAAUUUUUGUCAAGUAAUAAUCUAGAGUCUUAAAUUUAAUAAGUAUUGAGUUCUGAUUUAAUACCUAGUUUCUAGUCUUUUUUUUUUUUUCGUGAAUUGAAGAUUUUGAAUUUGUUUUUGUUCCUGGAGUUAGUCUUGGUUAUUAUUGACUUUCAUUCAGGCUUCCUAGUUGAUGCCUUGCUUUAAGUUAAACAUUUUUAUAUUUUCAUUCCUCAUAUUGGUAAAGCUUUCUUGCCUGGGUUAUACCCAACGUGAGUCAGUAUAUUUCAAUUUUUGUAUUUAGUUGUCCCUGCAGCUAGUAGUCGCCAAGAGAUUUUCAGAGGGCUUAUGUUUCUUUCCGGGUUGUAGUAUCUCUAGUAGAAUACUUAAGGUUCUGUCUUGAAACCCUUUUUUUGAGAUUCUGUAAAUAAACUUCCUUUUUGCAUUUUAA